GUUAAAGAUUCAUUGCUUCGGGAUGAGCUCGCGGUCCAUCAGCUUGUUGGUGAGGUAAUGGCUCACCAAGGCGACGACGGAUAGCUGGUCUGAGAGGAUGACCAGUCACACUGGGACUGAGACACUGCCCAGACUCCUACGGGAGGCUGCAGUCGAGAAUCUUCCGCAAUGGGCGCAAGCCUGACGGAGCAAUGCUGCGUGCCGGAUGAAGGCCUUCGGGUCGUAAACGGCUGUCACUCGGGACGAAUUUUGACGGUACCGAGAGAGGAAGCCACGGCUAACUACGUGCCAGCAGCCGCGGUAAUACGUAGGUGGCGAGCGUUAUUCGGAAUUAUUGGGCCUAGAGGGUUCGUAGGGGGUAAUGUAAGUCCGGUGUGAAAUCUCGAGGCUCAACCUCGAAACUGCAUUGGAAACUGCGUUACUUGAGUGUCAGAGAGGAAAGCGGAAUUCCUGGUGUAGCGGUGGAAUGCGUAGAUAUCAGGAAGAACACCGACGGCGAAGGCAGCUUUCUGGCUGACAACUGACCCUGAUGAACGAAAGCUAGGGUAGCGAACAGGAUUAGAUACCCUGGUAGUCCUAGCUGUAAACGUUGUGCACUGGAUGUGGGCGGAUUUGGUCCCGUCUGUGUCUGAGCGAAGGCGUUAAGUGCACCGCCUGGGGACUACGGCCGCAAGGCUAAAACUCAAAGGAAUUGACGGGGGCCCGCACAAGCGGUGGAGCAUGUGGCUCAAUUCGAGGCAACGCGAAGAACCUUACCUGGGUUUGACAUAUACCUGACCGCCGGUGAGAGCCGGUUUCUCUUUGAGCAGGUAUACAGGUGCUGCAUGGCUGUCGACAGCUCGUGCUGUGAAGUGUUCGGUUAAGUCCGGCAACGAGCGCAACCCACGCUGUUAGUUACCAUCAGGUGAAGCUGGGGACUCUAACAGGACUGCCCGUGCUAAGCGGGAGGAAGGCGUGGACGACGUCAAGUCCGCAUGGCCCUUACGCCCAGGGCUGCACACGUGCUACAAUGGCCGGUACAGAGGGUCGCCACUCUGCGAAGAGGAGCUAAUCCCGAAAACCGGCCCCAGUUCGGAUUGGAGUCUGCAAUUCGACUCCAUGAAGUAGGAAUCGCUAGUAAAGGCGUAU
rnacentral:rRNA from 1 species